rnacentral:rRNA from 1 species
CAGUAGCCGCGGUAAUACGAAGGGGGCUAGCGUUGUUCGGAAUUAUUGGGCGUAAAGCGCUCGCAGGCGGUUUCUUAAGUCUGAUGUGAAAGCCCCCGGCUCAACCGGGGAGGGUCAUUGGAAACUGGGAAACUUGAGUGCAGAAGAGGAGAGUGGAAUUCCACGUGUAGCGGUGAAAUGCGUAGAGAUGUGGAGGAACACCAGUGGCGAAGGCGACUCUCUGGUCUGUAACUGACGCUGAGGAGCGAAAGCGUGGGGAGCGAACAGGAUUAGAUACCCGCGUAGUCCCUGUCUCUUAUAC